CUUGUGGACUGUUAUAUCAAAUGAGAGUAGUUUUUAUGCUGUGAGUGUAAAGGGCGAAAUCAGGCAGGUUGAAGCAAGAA
rnacentral:sRNA from 12 species